rnacentral:lncRNA from 1 species
CCACUGAAAUAUAUUGAAACUGUAAAUUGUUACAAACAAUAAAAAAAUUAUAAUACAAAUAAUUGAAAUACUAAUCCUUUCAAACAUAAUAACAAUGAAAAGAUUGCAAUACAAAAAAUUGAAAUAGUAAUCAUUUCAAACAUAAUAACAGAUUAUUAGUAAAAGGGUCGAUCGUAACAACUUGUGAACACUAGAUGUACUUCUGAAAACCGGUCAUACUCCCAAAAUAAUAACAGAAUAUACAGAUUUGAGCAGUUCUUUAAUACGAGCAAAGGAAGAAUUAAUUGUCAUGAUAACGUCAUACUCAAAUCUGAACAAUCUAUCCUUCAACUAUUCACGCACUAGAAAAAUUCUCACUGCAAAUAAUCUCCCGACUAGAGAAAACAAACUCCCAAGAGAUGAAUGAAAUCCUCUUACGGGAAAAUAAAUUCCACAAGAAAGGAAAAAUUAUUAGAGUACAAAAAAAGAGAUCUAGGGGAGAGUCUCUCCAAAAUAAGGAGAAUCAUGUCCAGAUCUAAGAUGGAGGUUAGAGUUUUUGUCUAGAGAAAAUAGAGAGAACAGAAGAUGAAAAGAAAAAGAGAAAGGGAAAGAAAGCUAUUUCCUUUCCACUUUUGUGUAUGCCCUUGUGAAAGAACUUGUAUUCGGGAGAUUAG